GCCCCAAUAGCUCAAUGGCAGAGCAUCACUUUCGUAAAGUGGGGGUUGAGGGUUCAACUCCCUCUUGGGGCU
rnacentral:tRNA from 1 species